GACGAACGCUGGCGGCGUGCUUAACACAUGCAAGUCGAACGGAAAGGCCCUGCUUUUGUGGGGUGCUCGAGUGGCGAACGGGUGAGUAACACGUGAGUAACCUGCCCUUGACUUUGGGAUAACUUCAGGAAACUGGGGCUAAUACCGGAUAGGAGCUCCUGCUGCAUGGUGGGGGUUGGAAAGUUUCGGCGGUUGGGGAUGGACUCGCGGCCUAUCAGCUUGUUGGUGGGGUAGUGGCUUACCAAGGCUUUGACGGGUAGCCGGCCUGAGAGGGUGACCGGCCACAUUGGGACUGAGAUACGGCCCAGACUCCUACGGGAGGCAGCAGUGGGGAAUAUUGCACAGUGGGCGGAAGCCUGAUGCAGCAACGCCGCGUGCGGGAUGACGGCCUUCGGGUUGUAAACCGCUUUCGCCUGUGACGAAGCGUGAGUGACGGUAAUGGGUAAAGAAGCACCGGCUAACUACGUG
rnacentral:rRNA from 1 species